GGCGAACGCUGGCGGCGUGCUUAACACAUGCAAGUCGAACGGGAAUUACUUUAUUGAAGCUUCGGUCGAUUUAAUUUAAUUCUAGUGGCGGACGGGUGAGUAACGCGUGGGUAACCUGCCUUAUACAGGGGGAUAACAGUCAGAAAUGGCUGCUAACGCCGCAUAAGCGCACAGAGCUGCAUGGCUCAGUGUGAAAAACUCCGGUGGUAUAAGAUGGACCCGCGUUGGAUUAGCUGGUUGGUGGGGUAACGGCCCACCAAGGCGACGAUCCAUAGCCGGCCUGAGAGGGUGAACGGCCACAUUGGGACUGAGACACGGCCCAG
rnacentral:rRNA from 1 species